rnacentral:rRNA from 1 species
AAUCUGCCUUUGAGUCAGGGGUAACGCUGCGAAAGCGGUGCUAAUACCUGAUAAGCCCACAGCCCCUACUGGGGCAGAGGGAAAAGGUGGCCUCUGAUUCAAGCUAUCGCUUAAAGAUGAGCCCGCGUACCAUUAGCUUGUUGGUAGGGUAAUGGCCUACCAAGGCUAUGAUGGUUAACUGGCCUGAGAGGGUGGCCAGUCACACUGGAACUGAGACACGGUCCAG